rnacentral:rRNA from 1 species
GACGAACGCUGGCGGCGUGCUUAACACAUGCAAGUCGAACGGUAAGGCCCUUCGGGGUACACGAGUGGCGAACGGGUGAGUAACACGUGGGUGAUCUGCCCUGCACUUCAGGAUAAGCCUGGGAAACUGGGUCUAAUACCGGAUAGGACCACUGCCUGCAUGGGUGGUGGUGGAAAGCUUUUGCGGUGUGGGAUGGGCCCGCAGCCUAUCAGCUUGUUGGUGGGGUGAUGGCCUACCAAGGCGACGACGGGUAGCCGGCCUGAGAGGGUGACCGGCCACACUGGGACUGAGAUACGGCCCAGACCCCUACGGGAGGCAGCAGUGGGGAAUAUUGCACAAUGGGCGCAAGCCUGAUGCAGCGACGCCGCGUGAGGGAUGGCGGCCUUCGGGUUGUAAACCUCUUUCAGCAUCGACGAAGCGCAAGUGACGGUAGGUGCAGAAGAAGGACCGGCCAACUACGUGCCAGCCGCCGCAGUAA